AAUGAACGCUGGCGGCGUGCCUAACACAUGCAAGUCGAGCGCGAAAAGGGCAACCUGAGUAGAGCGGCGCACGGGUGCGUAACACGUGGGUAAUUUGCCUUAGAGUCGAGGAUAACCUUCCGAAAGGUUGGCUAAUACUCGGUAAGCUUACGGUGUCUUCGGACGCUGUGGGAAAAGUAGGCCUCUGUUUACAAGCUUACGCUCUGAGAUGAGCCCGCGGCCCAUCAGCUAGUUGGCGGUGUAACGGACCACCAAGGCAACGACGGGUAGCUGGUCUGAGAGGACGAUCAGCCACACUGGAACUGAGACACGGUCCAGACUCCUACGGGAGGCAGCAGUGGGGAAUUUUCCACAAUGGGCGAAAGCCUGAUGGAGCAAUACCGCGUGUGUGAUGAAGGUUUUCGGAUCGUAAAGCACUUUCGACUGGGACGAAAAACCUUUGGCUAACAUCCAGGGGCCUGACGGUACCAGGAGAAGAAGCACCGGCUAACUCUGUGCCAGCCGCCGCGGUAAUAC
rnacentral:rRNA from 1 species